GCACGGCGCGUGGCCCGGGAGAUCACCUCAACGGCCCGUUUGUCCUGGGGCCUGCGAGCCGCCGCUCGUCUGCCCCUGCCACCCGCGGAACAGGGCUGCUGCCGUCGAAAGCGCACGGCCCUCCAGCUACCGCGGCAGGCAGAGCAUCCGCCCUGCCGUCGCCCUACAGGCAAGGCCCCGCGCCGCACGCUGGAGGUGCUGCCCUGAGGUGAGCUGCCGUUCUCGGCUCCCUCGGAGGCCUGGCAUACAGCAUGUUUUGGGGGAAGAAUACGAGAGGCUGCUGAAACGCAGUGUUACCAGUCACAGGCCCUGAUAACCUUUAGGGUAAACCCAGCUCACAGGAUGCUUUCAGCUGGCCUCUGGAAAGGCCUAGGAAAACAGAUGACUCCAGAUUAUCCAGGAGUGAUUUAGGCCACAAAAAGAAAGACGCCUGAAUUGUCUCUGUGUAAGACAGCUGGGGUCCAAUUAAGCUUAGCAGCAGAGCUAUGCAUCUUGUGAACAGCAUUGCUCCAAUUACAGGCAAAGGUCCAAGUGUGGCAAGAGGGACUUGUCUGGUUGUAUUUGGAUCCCACAAGGAGCACCGCUAAGUCAGAGCUAGUAAACCUCGAUGGGCUUAAGCUUCAUUCCACUAAUUCGGGUCUGUCAUCAGGGUACUUUCAGUCCUGUCACAGUACGCUUAUGUUACCCGAUGUUUUCUACCAUUAGGCUCCAUGAUUCCCCUGUUACUUUGAAAAGUGGACAGUGGAUUGCGUAGUCACCUUGUUAGCCAGGAGUAUGCAAUGAUCAAGCUUUGAAUGCAGAAUGGCGCCAAAUAAAGUAUGCAUUUGUGGUACUGGAAAAGCACUGUUCACUCUGACAUAUGUUUCAAGCACACCACCACAAUUUAUUGUUUAUGUUAGAAAAGCAGUAAUCUGAAAAUGGAUCUAGAAACCAUUGUUCUAGAUACCACGCUUGACACAUAAUAAAAAGAAAGCUCAUGCACUGCAGAGCUGGUAGCGAGUGUAGAUUAGGCGAGUUCUAAAGAGAGAGCUGUGCAGGUUUUUUCAGGUCUUAUAGACUUGUUGCACCAGCACAAACAAACCUGCCAGAGCACUUUCUGAAAGGCAGCAUGCAAACAGGCAGGUCCAAACAAAAAGGCUGAAGCUUUAACCUACCUCAAAACCCUUGCGUGCUUCUAACAGUCCCUCCUGAUUCUGAACAGCCUCUCAGUUCUCCACAGAUGCAAGAACCACAGCUCACAGAAACACAGCAUCUCUCCUGACCAAGCCAACAGCAGGAACAUUAGCACGCACAAAGUGUCAUACAAGAACCAAGAAACACAAGAAGAUGCGGCUGAAACUGCCUCUUUCUUGCUCAUUCUUCAGUGCCAGAUCACAUCAGGAUAUAACAUACCUGAGGACUACUUGUUUGCAGACUGCUGGAAGACAGAGGCAUAAUCACGUAUUGGUGAUUAUGGCUGAUCAGGUGGUGACUCUAGAGCCUGAGUUGCUUAGAAAUGACACUGAUUCUUUCAUUAAAUGCCCCCACCUGACCAAGAGUGACUACGGUUGAUAAGGUGCUGUGUCUUCUUCCACUCUCUGCUGAGCAUGCCAAUGUAGGUCAGCAAGGGUCAGAUAGGGUGGGAGGUCUAGCAAUGCAGAAAUCUGCAA